GACGAACGCUGGCGGCGUGCUUAACACAUGCAAGUCGAACGGGUCUGCCCUGUUUUUUGCGGGGUGGGUCAGUGGCGAACGGGUGAGUAACACGUGAGUAACCUGCCCCUCACUUCUGGAUAACCGCUUGAAAGGGUGGCUAAUACGGGGUGUUCUGGCUGUGCCGCAUGGUGUGGCUGGGAAAGAUUCACUUUUGUGGUGUUUUGGUGGGGGAUGGGCUCGCGGCCUAUCAGCUUGUUGGUGGGGUGAUGGCCUGCCAAGGCUUUGACGGGUAGCCGGCCUGAGAGGGUGGGCGGUCACACUGGGACUGAGUUACGGCCCAGACUCCUGCGGGAGGCAGCAGUGGGGGGUAUUGCACAAUGGGCGGAAGCCUGAUGCAGCGACGUCGCGUGAGGGAUGGAGGCCUUCGGGUUGUGAACCUCUUUCGCCGGUGAAGAAGGUCCUGCUCUUUGUGGUGGGGUUGACGGUAGCCGGGUUAUGAAGCGCCGGCUAACUACGUG
rnacentral:rRNA from 1 species